UAGAUCUUCAAUAACGAAGGGUUAUUUUGCGGACAUUAAAAUGCACAAUUUUCAGUCGUUAAAACCAAAAUUUAAGGCGCCAGCAUUUUUCCCCGCCCUCCCCCACCCAAAAUUGCAUUUCCCCCAAAAGAAAAAUCAAAAGGGCAAAAAUUAAGACACAAACACAAAGCCUGUCGUGUCUCUGCCUUCUCAGAUAACCACCUUCCCUCCCGAUUUGGAUUCAUUGCCAGUAUUUUCCCUUCUCGAUCUCAGUUAAAUGUUUCAGUCUUCAUUCCAUUGUAGAAUCAAUCCAAUUGUUUGUUGAUUUUGUGGAAUCGACUUUUUAUUUAUUCAUCAAGUAGAGUAUUUGAGGUUUAUUCAGAUCCUACUGUCGUGUGAAUAUUCUUGGAGGGAGUUAUCAGAAAAUCAUGGCUUAGGGUUGGUGUAUUCCUUGAUUUAGAUUGUGAGUAAUUUGACUGUAGCAGCUCGACACCAUUUGAAUAAGGUAAGCUAAGCCUACUUCUCAGAUAAAAUUGUCAUUUAGACAUUUUAUUUCCAGUGUUCUGGAAAUUAGAGUGCUAAUGUUGUCUCUACAUUAGAAUAUGUAGUGUCAUAAAAGAAUAAAACAAGUGAAGGACUGUUUGUAUAUAGAUGCGCCAAACUGGUAGAACUAAAAAUAGCAGCCUACAUAUGAAUUCUCUUAAUCUAUUCCUAGUACUUGAGAGAAGGAGUUUCCAUUUCAUGGUUGUCUAAAAUUCGAGCAAUUUAAUAUUGGCCAUUAGCUUCUUAUCAUCGAGUACUCUGUAAAUUUGUUGACCAUACAUGCACUAAGACCAAUCCCUUAGAUAUUCUGUGUCAGGGAUGAUUCUUAGAGUGCUUAGUUACAGUUAUUUUUUAAUGAAUUUAAAAAGAUCGAUUAAUGAAUAGACAUGCUAUGAAUAGUUGGAAAUGGAGAGGGAAUACGAAUAGAUGUUGUGCUCUUUGACUAAGAAGAUAGUCAAUAAAUUCUUUAUAAAUAUUGUUGUUGUAAUAUUUUUGCAUCUAGAUUCUUGCCCUUAAGCCCUUCAACUAUAGCCCUGCUUGAAGGAACUUGUUCAUUGUUACACUGUGAUACAAGGAUCUCUUUUCAUUACUUUUGUAAGAACUGAAAUGAACCAAGGACCAAAAUAAACAACUAUAAGGACCAAAAUAUUUAUACUGGCAGUGAAGGGCUUUUAUAUUUCCUGGCAUUUAUACUUGUUGAACUCAUUUCCUUCAUGUUUGUAUUAGCAGUAAUGUCAUUAGCAAACCACAUGGUAAUACUUCGAUAAUGAAUUACUUAUCCUCUUCAUGUACACUAAUUUUUAAGGUGUUCCUUUUUUCUCUUUUGGGUUUCUUGUGGACGGGUUUGUUUUCCUUUAUCUGAGGUUUGUUAUGGAGACAUUCUAGGUGUUUCAAUAGAUCAAUGCUUGAAGAAUCCUCAUAGAGAUGACAAUUGGUCCAGACUUCUAAUUUUGUAAUGGUUUUAUUUUUGCAAAUUGGAUCAUGUUGAUUAAACUGCUGAUGAGACUGCAUAAAGUUAGCUUUGUUGUGUUCUUAAUAAUAAGAGGUUGUAUUGGUAGUCUUUAGUGAGAAUUUUUGUUUAUUUUCCUCUCAUCUUCAAGUUAUCCUUUUCUCAAUUAGCGGACAAAUAUUAGACUACCAGGGAAAAACUAUUAGAACAAGUGGAAAUAUCUUAUUGUCCAUAGCACAUUUCAACCUCUAACAAGAAUCAUUUGUUUCUUAAUCUGAACUUGUGCAGGAUAUGUGCUUUCCAUUACUUGUGGAUAGUGGCCUCAUUGGUUAAAUUAAAGUGGUGCCAUAAAAAUAAAGUAGUCAAAUUUAUACUGACCAAAUUUUUUGUUGGUCAUCAAAGUCAAUUUUCAGUUUAGUAUUAAUAAGGGGAUAAUAUCUGAAGCAGUAAUUAUUUCUAGUAUGCUUAUAGUCAACAUCGUUUAAUAACAAUGUUUGGCCCUACUUAUUGCCUAUGUCCGGAAAAAGAAAUGGAGAAAAAUGGGAGUCUCAAUGUGAGAUCCGUUGCCGCAUUUUCUUUGCUUAAGCGUGCAUACAAUCAGAGUCUUAUUUUAAUUAUUCUCUUUAUCCUUGACUUGUCGCUGCCCGUCUUAAAUUGUUAUAGUAUCUGGCCUUCUCUAUUUAUUUUCAGUCUCACAGGUAUUUUCUGAACUUUAUUAUUUGCAGUGAUAUGAAGGCUUCUUAUUUGUGAUUUUUCUGUUGGAAUUAAAAAAAAAAAAAAAAAAAGGCCAUUCCGACUAACAUGCUCUUUUUUGUUUUUAGUUUCAUCAGUGUAUUCUUAAAGUGAUCCCUUAAAAUAUGCCUUGUAUGUUGUGAUAUUCAUGAAUUCAUGCCUUUGUUUCUUCAAUUUAAAUUAAAAGGCGUUGGUGCUUUGGCUUUGAGAGAAGGAUCAGGUAAAGAUGUUGAAGCUGGUGGUCUUAAUUCAUUACUGAUGCUUUUUAGUAAUUCCAAGAAUGAUACCAUCGCAAAAUAGCAUCUGGUAAACUGGUGAUUCUCAAUCUAUAGCUCUCUUUUUCUCUCUUUAUUUCCCCUACAGAGGAUACUUUAUGUCCUUGUCUAGGCCCUUUGUAUCCUAAGAGCUACUAUGUUCUGAGGAGUAUGCCAACCAGGAACUUAUAAUAAAUCAAGGUGGAAUUACGCUGUUAGCGGAGCACUGCUGAUGCUGAGGAUCCUCAUUUGAUAAAAUUAGUAAAGUGACCAACUCCUUCAUUGACUUAAUUAACUGUUAAUAUGUGCUAAUGCUCUUUUCAUUUAAAAAGGAAGGACUUCUUAAGUUCUGUAUAGUAAAAACCAGCAAAAUCUCCCUUCCAAAAAGGUAAUAUUUCCUAGACAUGCUCCAAUGGAAAUUAUUAAUUGUUUGUAGUCAGUUAAUGUACAUGUCUAGAAAAUGAUCUGAUGGCAUGGAUUAAUACAGAUACUUUCAGAGUUCUUUUUUCCUAAGCUUGUAAUUGUCCACCUUUUAUGUAUUUCAAAUUCUCUGCGUGGACAGGUUCUCUCCCAAUUUCUUUCUACUAUCAUCAUAGGUUGAUCUUUCCUACUACUAGGCCAACUUAAAAGUUUGUUAGCGAAAAGAUUUAACGUCAUGGCUAGUGCUAUAACUUGACAAAUGCUAGUAGAAUAGAUUACUUUAUUUUUAGAACUUUCUCUAGGUUGAAAUCUAAAUUGCUUCCUAUUGAAACAGAAGAUAUACUUUCUUGAAGCUAUUGAUGGUUUGCAUUUGUUCAAUCAAAAUAGUACUCAAAGUAUUUAGUUAGUGAUUAAUUAUUCAUUUGUUUUCUAAAUGAAGUAGCUGUAGGAAUUCUGUCACUUAAUUGACAUGAAUUUGUUCUUUUAACAGAUCACGACUUUGAAGUUCGAAGAACAUGUCCUCUGAAGAGAUUUCAGAGCAAGUACAAGGGCAAUUGGUUUUUAUUUUGUUAGUGGUGUUUUAAAUCAUUUGUACAUAUGCUACAAUUCUACCUUUUUAGUUUUUAAGGAGUUGAUAAAAGUAAUGUCAUACAACUUGGAUGUUUAUAUUUUUUUGAAAUAUAUACCUUUAGUUCAUUGCAAUUAACAGUGUAACUUUAUAAUAACAUUGAUUAUUUGGUAUAUUUUUCGAUGCGGAUGUGUAUA